GAUGAACGCUGGCGGCGUGCUUAACACAUGCAAGUCGAACGGAAAGGCCCAAGCUUGCUUGGGUACUCGAGUGGCGAACGGGUGAGUAACACGUGGGUGAUCUGCCCUGCACUUCGGGAUAAGCCUGGGAAACUGGGUCUAAUACCGGAUAGGACCACUUCUUGGAUGUUGUGGUGGAAAGUUUUUUCGGUGUGGGAUGAGCUCGCGGCCUAUCAGCUUGUUGGGGGGGUAAUGGCCUACCAAGGCGUCGACGGGUAGCCGGCCUGAGAGGGUGUACGGCCACAUUGGGACUGAGAUACGGCCCAGACUCCUACGGGAGGCAGCAGUGGGGAAUAUUGCACAAUGGGCGCAAGCCUGAUGCAGCGACGCCGCGUGGGGGAUGACGGCCUUCGGGUUGUAAACUCCUUUCGCUAGGGACGAAGCGUUUUGUGACGGUACCUGGAGAAGAAGCACCGGCUAACUACGUG
rnacentral:rRNA from 1 species